rnacentral:rRNA from 1 species
CCUACGGGAGGCAUCAGUGAGGAAUAUUGGUCAAUGGACGCAAGUCUGAACCAGCCAUGCCGCGUGCAGGAAGACGGCCCUAUGAGUUGUAAACUGCUUUUGUACGAGGGUAAACUCAGAUACGCGUAUCUUUCUGCAAGUAUCGUACGAAUAAGGAUCGGCUAACUCCGUGCCAGCAGCCGCGGUAAUACGGAGGAUUCAAGCGUUAUCCGGAUUUAUUGGGUUUAAAGGGUGCGUAGGCGGUCGGAUAAGUUAGAGGUGAAAUCCCGAGGCUCAACUUCGGAAUUGCCUCUGAUACUGUUGGGCUAGAGAGUAGGUGCGGUAGGCGGAAUGUAUGGUGUAGCGGUGAAAUGCUUAGAGAUCAUACAGAACACCGAUUGCGAAGGCAGCUUACCAAGGUACUUCUGACGCUGAGGCACGAAAGCGUGGGGAACAAACAGGAUUAGAUACCCUGGUAGUC